rnacentral:rRNA from 1 species
GCUACGGACAAAGGGCUGCAAGUUCGCGAGGACAAGCAAAUCCCAUAAACCGUGGCUCAGUUCAGAUCGUAGGCUGCAACUCGCCUACGUGAAGGCGGAAUCGCUAGUAAUCGCAGGUCAGCAUACUGCGGUGAAUACGUUCCCGGGCCUUGUACACACCGCCCGUCACACCAUGGAAGUUGGCCACGCCCGAAGCCGUUACUCCAACCCUUGUGGAGGAGGACGUCGAAGGUGGGGCUGAUGACUGGGGUGAAGUCGUAACAAGGUAUCCGUACCGGAAGGUGCGGAUGGAUCACCUCCUAA